GAUAACCAUUUCACACAAAGGGUGGUGGGUGUAUGAAACAAGCUGCCAGAGGAGGUAGUUGAGGCUGGGACUAUCCCAACAUUUACGAAAAAGUUAGACGGGUAAAUGGAUAGAGCAGGUUUGGAGGGAUAUGGACCAAACGCGGGCAGGUGGGACUAGUGUAGCUGGGACAUGUUGGCCAUUUGGAUGGGUUGGGCCAAAGGGCCUGUUUC